rnacentral:rRNA from 1 species
CCUACGGGUGGCAGCAGUGGGGGAUAUUGCACAAUGGGGGAAACCCUGAUGCAGCGACGCCGCGUGGGUGAAGAAGUAUUUCGGUAUGUAAAGCCCUAUCAGCAGGGAAGAAAGAAGACGGUACCUGACUAAGAAGCCCCGGCUAACUACGUGCCAGCAGCCGCGGUAAUACGUAGGGGGCGAGCGUUAUCCGGAUUCACUGGGUGUAAAGGGAGCGUAGACGGCCGUGCAAGCCAGGAGUGAAAGCCCGGGGCCCAACCCCGGGACUGCUCUUGGAACUGUGCGGCUGGAGUGCGGGAGGGGCAGGCGGAAUGCCUGGUGUAGCGGUGAAAUGCGUAGAUAUCAGGAGGAACACCGGCGGCGAAGGCGGCCUGCUGGACCGCGACUGACGUUGAGGCUCGAAAGCGUGGGGAGCGAACAGGAUUAGAUACCCGUGUAGUC